rnacentral:miRNA from 1 species
UAGGGCACAGGAUGGGAUGAGG